GUAAUGAUAAUGUGCAACACAGCUGUUUAGUAAUGAUGGAAUGGUUAUUAAUGUGUCACACAGGUGUUUAGUAAUUAUAAUGUGCCACACAGGUGUUUAGUAAUGAUAAUGUGCCACACAGGUGUUUUGUACUGAUGGAAUGGUUAUUAAUGUGCCACACAGGUGUUUAGUAAUGAUAAUGUACCACACAGGUGUUUAGUAAUGAUAAUGUGCAACACAGCUGUUUAGUAACGAUGGAAUGGUUAUUAAUGUGUCACACAGGUGUUUAGUACUGAUGGAAUGGUUAUUAAUGUGUCACACAGGUGUUUAGUACUGAUGGAAUGGUUAUUAAUGUGCCACACAGGUGUUUAGUAAUGAUAAUGUGCCACACAGGUGUUUAGUAACGAUAAUGUGCAACACAGCUGUUUAGUAAUGAUGGAAUGGUUAUUAAUGUGUCACACAGGUGUUUAGUAAUAAUAAUGUGCAACACAGGUGUUUAGUAAUGAUAAUGUGCCACACAGAUGUUUAGUAAUGAUAAUGUGCAACACAGGUGUUUAGUAAUGAUAAUGUGCAACACAGGUGUUUAGUAAUGAUAAUGUGCAACACAGGUGUUUAGUAACGAUAAUGUGCAACACAGCUGUUUAGUAAUGAUGGAAUGGUUAUUAAUGUGUCACACAGGCGUUUAGU
rnacentral:lncRNA from 1 species